GACGAACGCUGGCGGCGUGCCUAAUACAUGCAAGUCGAGCGAAGCUGCCUGGAGGAAGUUUUCGGAUGGAAUUUAGGUAGACUUAGUGGCGGACGGGUGAGUAACGCGUGGAUAACCUGCCUUAUACAGGGGGAUAACGGAGAGAAAUUUCCGCUAACACCGCAUAAGACCACAGCACCGCAUGGUGCAGGGGUAAAAUAUUUAUAGGUAUAAGAUGGAUCCGCGUCCGAUUAGCUAGUUGGUGAGGUAAAGGCCCACCAAGGCGACGAUCGGUAGCCGGCCUGAGAGGGUGAACGGCCACAUUGGGACUGAGACACGGCCCAAACUCCUGCGGGAGGCAGCAGUGGGGAAUAUUGGACAAUGGGGGAAACCCUGACCCAGCGACGCCGCGUGAGUGAAGAAGUAUUUCGGUAUGUAAAGCUCUAUCAGCAGGGAAGAAAAUGACGGUACCUGACUAAGAAGCCCCGGCUAACUACGUGCCAGCAGCCGCGGUAAUACGUAGGGGGCAAGCGUUAUCCGGAUUUACUGGGUGUAAAGGGAGCGCAGACGGCAAUGCAAGUCUGAAGUGAAAGGCGUGGGCUCAACCCAUGAACUGCUUUGGAAACUGUAUAGCUUGAGUGUCGGAGGGGUAAGCGGAAUUCCUAGUGUAGCGGUGAAAUGCGUAGAUAUUAGGAGGAACACCGGAGGCGAAGGCGGCUUACUGGACGACAACUGACGUUGAGGCUCGAAGGCGUGAGGAGCAAACAGG
rnacentral:rRNA from 1 species